GUGUAAAUGCCCUUAAGUCGACUGCGCUUUAGAAUCACUUGGGGAUCAUCUAAAAAAUACCAAUUCCUGGGGCCAACCCCUAGGGAGUCUGAUUUCACUGGUCUGAGGCCACGCCUCCUCAUCCACACCGUUUAAAAAGCUUCCCAAGCCAGGCAACAACUGAGCUGAGCGUCUGGACCUGAACCGCCCUGCAGGGAAAGGCAACGGAAGCUCUUGCUAGGGUAGCAACUAUGAGCUCAAAUCCACCGUCCCCCUCCCCGACUUCAGGACUCCAGGUUGUGGUUCGAACCCGCCUUUGGCAGCUCCUUCAAACGGGAACCAGCCCCAUCACUUUGUAACGUUCGGCGUUGGCGCAGGGGUCUGCAGCUUCCGCCUGCCCGAAACUUGGUGCUGGCUGACCCUGAAGGCGGCCCUGUGAGAGGGAGGCAAGAGAGCGAGCUGAUCCGGGCACCGCACAGGCGGAGGCCGAGACUCUGUCAGGAGUGGAGAAGGCGCUGCUGCCAGCUUAAGAUGCCUAACACCUGAUGGGUCCUGUCGCCAGCUCCACGGCUCCUGGCAGUUGGUUCAUCCCUUGAGCUGAUGACUUUACGUUGUUCUAUAAGAGCACUGCCCAAAAGAAAUACAACAUGAGCUACAAAUAAAGCUGGGCGGGAGCUGUGGUGGCCAUGAAGAUGCACCGCUCAGAUCUCCUGCAGCUGGGGGCAUAGUGACAGGUAGGAAUCCCCUAUGGCACUUGCAUGAGUCCGCGCUCCCCACGGUCUGCUCCUGGCCAAUGACUGAAUGUGACAGGGCCACUUAUGCAGGCCUGUUCCUGCAAGCCAGGGGACUCCUGUGAUAGGCGACUGGCUCAGACUUUCCUUCAACCUGGCUAAGACACUCUUAGGGCUGUGCUGCACUCUGAACCGGCCUCUCCAGCCGCCCCCUAUUACUUCUCUCUCAUCCUUUGCAGCUCACCUCACCUCCUUCAGUUCCCUCCCCUUUUUCCCUUAUUGGCAUUUCUCUUGAUAAAUUUCUAGCAUGUCUAAACCUGUCUUGGCAUCUGCGUCUAGAAGGACCCAAACUAACACAGGAGCGUAUGGAAGUGAAAUAGAGACUUGCAUUACCCCUAAAAUUGCAUAUUUCUAGAUUAUCUAAAGUAAGAGUUCCAAAGCGCACUGAUAUUGGCGAGAUUCCAAUAAAACCCAAGAGAGAGGAGGAGAGGGUGGAGAAAGGAACUCCUAGGCGCUCUAUUGUGUUCUUAAAGCUUGCAAAUUGAUCCUGAGUAAAAUCCAAAAUCUAAAUAUGGGCAGACUGAAAAGCUUGAAUAGAUAUUUAAACAGCCAAAGUAGAACUCAAGAUUAGUUAAUGGAGGCUGUUUUCACACCCACACAACCUGGCAGAUCAUUGCUGUACAGUCUUUGUCGCAAAAAAUACUACAGAAAUAUGGUUCUUUGAAAACAUCUUCUGUCCCUGUACAAAUGACAUAGGAUCCGGAGGCAUUUCUGCAAAUAAUAUGUUUUCCUAUGCCAGUGUAUAAAUAGCUUUAGAGUAUUGAGAUCAAGAGAAAAUUGCCAAGACUAUUGCUACACUGACAAGAGAAGCAGCUGAUUUGGAGGCUGUGCUGCUAUUUGCUGCUAGUCCAGAAAUUUAAUGAGACGCAGCACAUUGUUGUUUUCACACGACCAGAUAAGAGGGCAGAUCCUGCCAUCUCUGACUCCAUAGAAAAGGCCAGAAUGGGGCCUUCCCAAUUUAACUGCCCUUUGGUGAGAUUUACUUAGCAGGCAAGUGCUUUGCUUCUGUUGGAAAAGAUUGUCUUUUUAAAUGAUGGCCAAACCCAGUUCUCCCCAGCUUUUAAUGCACGUGAUCCUUCUGGGCUGGACCAAACAUACUUCCAUUUUUCCUUUCUACCUUUUGGCAAAACUUAUAAAAGAGGAGAAAGAUCUGCAGAAAAUAUGAAAAUCCAGGAUGUCCUAGCAUACCUUGGAGAUUUGCAUCAUUAAGUAUCCUGAUCCCCUGACAUGCGCACAGUUGCCCCCCGCUAUCAGUUUGGACUUUGCCAUUCCUUCAUUUAUACUUUAAUUCAUGUCUCUCUCUAGACAGCUUACUAUGUGCAGGCACUGUGCAGUGCACUGGGGGGAUAGCAAUGAACCUGACUGGCAAGGUCCCUGCCCUCUGGUAGCACGCACUCUUGCCGGGGAGGAGGGUGGUAAAUAUACAACAUAAUGGAAAUAUGAGUGAUCAGAUAGAGGGACUGGGAAGAGUGGCUUUUACACAGAGUGGUCAGGGAUGCCCUCUGUGAGAAGCCAGCCGUGGAGAAGACCAAAGAGAAAAGGAAACAUCAAGUGCAGACACUUAAGUGGGAAUGAACUUGGCCUGUUCGAGGCACAGAAAGAAGGCUGAGGGGGCUGGAUCACAGGGAGCACAGAAACGUAGUGGGAGAUGAGGUCAGUGUGAAACGCUGGGCCCAAUCUUGUAGGGCCUUAUAGGCCCAGCAUGGUUGGGAGCUUGGGCUUAUUUCAAGUGCUAGGGAAGUUCAUUGGAGUUGUUGGGUUUUUGUUGUUUGUUUUCAGACACAGAUGACUUCAAAUGUUGGAUGUUUCCGUCAAGGAUCUGAGCACUUACAUUUUGCUACUCAUCAAUUGCCCUUAUUUGUUGUAUCUCUUAUUUCCUUGCAGAAUGUGAAUCUUUGUGUCCUCAAAGCCCAGCACGUUGCCUAGCAUAUGUGGAUAUUUAAUAAGUGUUGACUAAAUGAAAAUGCUCCUGAGUAUAGAGAAAGACAAAGUUGUGGUAAAAAUCACUAUGAAACACUAAUAGUUAAUAGGUCAGCAUUGGAUGGAACCCAAUGGGAGGAAAGCGACCAAGUAAGGUCUUGUGUUAUGACAAAUCCCUGGUGAAGAGAGGGGGUGCACUGGCUACUGAUGCUAAUGAGGGAACUUCAGAACAUUCUAACUCAACAUGAGACCCAGGAAAUAGGUACAAUUAUAAAUGCUUUUCAGUGAUUUGCAGAGUAUGUGCCAUAUUUGUCUUCUUGCUGGAUAUGAUCUUGUCUCCCUACUGGAGAAGAAGGGAAAGAGGUUUGAAUAAUCUUCCCUCUUCUGGUUUAUUAAAAGGUAAGGUGAACAUUUGUCCUUCUUUUUGGUUGUUCAGUAUCUGAAAGUCAUUCCCAUGUUUGGAUUUCCCACCCUGUGUCAGUGAAAGAUAGAACAAACCUUCCACUAUAGAAACUGAAAUUCCAGAUACUUCUUUCUCAAUUUCCAUUGCUAGAGUCAAGGAUGACUCAUAGCAUCCACUUGUGAGAUGAAGUCAUGAAGUCGGCAGAAUCAUAGGAAACCCUCCAGUGUCUUUCAGGGUCAGAGGUGGCAGAUUGACCAAGGUUCUGGGGUAGCAAUGCAAGAAGGGCUACUGGAGCCUAGGGUCCAAUUAACCUAUUGCCUACAGAAGUCAUCGUGUCCCUUCUCAGGAAUAAUUUUCCUGGCUAUCUCACUGCGAACUUGACUCUUCAGCCUUCCUAGAGAUUCUGUGAGCCACCCAAUAUUCUUUAAUGAAUUCAUUUUCUGCUUCAACCAUACAGAGUUGAUUUCCAGUCUUUGAAACUAAGAAUUGUGAAUGAUUCAGAAAUUGGAAUGGAGUAGUUACAAGCCUUAGAGCCUUAGAGAAAUAUGGGAUGUAUGUGGAAAUAUGGAAGUGUUUUCUGGCUUGGUUGAGGUUGAAGGCAAUGAAAAUCCAGCUGGUGUUGUUAAGGGCUCUUGUCAUGAUCUGGUGAAGCAGUUAAUCAAAUCAUCACCUGUGUGCACCUAGACUGACUUGCUAUUGAAGGCAAAGCUCUGGGGAACUAAGAGAUCAAUGCUACUAAAUAAUAAGAAGUUCACGGGGAAUUCAAAGACUAUGGGAUGAGAUGGCUUCUACUGCCAAUUGAUAGCUUAAAUAAAAUAAAGAUGCUCAAAUUCCCAAAUUCUCAGUUCAAAGCACAUGCUGAAAACCAGAGGUUUCCAUGGCUUUGUUAAAAGAAUUUCUUACUGCUUGCCACUGAAGUGUGCAGAAAGCCAAAUAUCAAAUGUACAGUUUGAUCUUGAAAUUUUCCGAGAUAAAAAGAGUUGAAUUCACAUCCUUAGCAGUUCUCUUAAGAAAAAGUCAGAGCACUGAUUGGGGAAGAGUGGGCCUGGAGAAUUUCGAUGGGAAGAUUUAGAUGCUUCAUAUAGGCCAUGGCCAGGCAUGCUGCACUGAACUCUUAAGAACACUCAAUUGUCUAAUGAAAAAUAGAAUGCAGGAGUGUGUAAUUUUGGAACAUGAGC
ensembl:lncRNA